rnacentral:rRNA from 1 species
GAUGAACGCUAGCGACAGGCCUAACACAUGCAAGUCGAGGGGCAGCACAUGAGUAGCAAUACGAUGGUGGCGACCGGCGCACGGGUGAGUAACACGUAUGCAACCUGCCUUCUACUAUGGGAUAACCCGUUGAAAGACGGACUAAUACCGUAUAAUACAGGGGCUCCGCAUGGAGAUAUUUGUUAAAGAUUUAUUGGUAGAAGAUGGGCAUGCGUAUGAUUAGAUAGUUGGUGAGGUAACGGCUCACCAAGUCAACGACCAUUAGGGGUUCUGAGAGGAAGGUCCCCCACACUGGUACUGAGACACGGACCAGACUCCUACGGGAGGCAGCAGUGAGGAAUAUUGGUCAAUGGACGAGAGUCUGAACCAGCCAAGUCGCGUGAAGGAAGACGGUUCUAUGAAUUGUAAACUUCUUUUGUGCAGGAAUAAAGUGGGUUACGUGUAACCUUUUGUAUGUACUGUACGAAUAAGGAUCGGCUAACUCCGUGCCAGCCGCCGCUGUAA